GAUGAACGCUGGCGGCAUGCCUAACACAUGCAAGUCGAGCGAACGAACGAGAAGCUUGCUUCCCUGCUGUUGGCGGCUGACGGGCGAGUAAUACAACCAUAACCAUCCACUUAUACUGGGAGAACUACGUGAAACCCGACAUAAUACCGUCUCAUAUUUCUUACCGAUUUGUUCAAAAGUCAAUAACAACCUUCCUGGCUCUUAUAGCUUCAGCCUCGUUGCAUUAGCAAGUUGGUAAGGUAACGGCAAACCAAGGCAACGAUGCAUAUCCGACCGGAGAGGGUGAUCGGCCACACUGAAACUGAGACACGGUCCAGACUCCUACGGGAGGCAGCAGUGGGGAAUCUUGCGCAAUGGGCGAAAGCCUGACAGAGCAAUGACGCGUGAGUGAAGCAGGUCUUCGGAUCGUAAAACUCUGUUAUUAGGGAAGAACAUAUGUAUAAGUAACUGUGCAUGUCUUGACGGUACCUAAUGAGAAAGCCCCGGCUAACUACGUG
rnacentral:rRNA from 1 species